UAAAAGGUAGAACAGAGAGAGUUGGUACCAUCGUAAGGGAGCAGGCAAACAGUCGGAGCGGUCGCUCCAGAGUCAGCAAAACGAGUAAGGGGUUGUGGACAUCAAUAGAUCCGUCCUCUCUUGCUAUUUUGCGCGAUAUCCUGCAUCCACUACAAAAAUUGGUAGCCUAAACGAGUCAUUUCAGGUCUAGAGUAGGCUAAAGAGUUAAAGGAAGAAGCGUGAAACAAUCAUGCGGAGCAGUCUGACGGUUGAUCCCACUAGGAACAGCCCGGCGAUUGUUCCCGACAUUUAUGGAUGUUUCCAUAUCUUUCAAAGAUUUGCCCUAAUCACUUAUUCCCUCCUCUGAAGUCGAUGGCGCCUUCAUAUAAAAAGCCAUCCCUAUCUUUAUUUUGAUGGGACACUAGUUUUGCAAGAGACCUAGACCGAAUUAUUGGAUUUUGCUAUUGUAAGGGAGACGGCUCCUCUUCUUCACCGAGAAGAUUAUCCUGAACCCCAUUGAUUUCUCUUUGGAUCUCUAUGCAGUAUCAUUCAGUUAUUAUGUCUGGUUCAUCUUGUUAUAUGGCUGAGUAGUCGGCUAGCUUGUCUAGGGUUCUAGGGUGUUGAUCGCAAAAGCUAAACAUAAAUAAGCGACCAUAUUGUGUCUUUGUUCAUCUUUAUUCUUAAUGCUAGUUAUAACCUGAUCACUUAAUGCUAGAUCUUAGGUUGAAUCUGCUCAUUAACCGUGUAGUCGAUUGCUUGAUAUUGAGUGAAUGAUCCGCACACCUCUAGUCAGCGAAAGUAGAUACUAGAGUUCUCGGUGAACCUAUCGGACUUGAUCUCUAUUGCUUGUAGUCGAUCCUUGAUCCAAACGAGAGUUUAGGUGUCAAGGUCGAACCACAAAGGGAGCAUCACCACGACAGUGGGCUGUUCUACUUGAGUGAUCCGUGUUCUAGAUUGUGUUACAUUGCGCUUGAAUAAAUGUUUGGUUUAGCAUCAACACCCGAUGAAAAACCCUAGAUUAGCUUCUCUUUAAUAUUGAAUUUACUCUUUGCAAUCAUUUACUUCACUAGCACGUUACCACC
rnacentral:lncRNA from 1 species